AGCUCUGUGAUGUAGUGGUAGAGCACAUGUCCCGGUGUGGAUAAAACGCGGGUUCGAUUCCCGCUUGAGGCG